GAGACAACGAUAUAGAAAAUCAAAUGCAGGCUAGAUCUUUCUAGUUGGAGAAGCACCAAUCUCUUAGUGCUCAAGGAAAAAACUUGUUAUAGCUUGUGAAGCAUAAUAUAUAUAGAAGCUUCCUUGUCGAGUUGUGUGGUUAAGUAAUUUGAUGAAUGAGCUUAAGUAAUGUGAAGUGUGAUUUAUUGAUCAUCAAGGUUGAUAACCAAUUUACAAUCAAACUAGCUAAGCACCAUGUUGCCCAGAGACGAAGCAAACACAUAGAGAUGAAGUUCCAUUACCUAAAAAAUAGGUUAGCGAAGGGAUUAUGAAACUAAAGCAUUGUAGAAGUGAAAUGCAAAUAGCAGACUUACUUACAAAGGGUGUAACAAUUGAAACUUUCACAAGAUUGACAAGUUUGAUGGGUAUUGAGUUGAAACGUGAAUUAAGAUGGAAUGUUGAUGGUAUGUGAUAAUUCAAGUUAUGUGAGCUUACUUAUUGUGCAAGUCAAGCCUUCAGUGAUUAGUUGUUUAUGUUUUUUGUGUGUUAAUAACUAUUAGUAACGUG
rnacentral:lncRNA from 1 species